CGGCAUGCCUAACACAUGCAAGUCGAACGGUAACGCGGAGAGCUUGCUCUCUGGCGACGAGUGGCGGACGGGUGAGUAAUACUUAGGAAUCUGCCCAGUAGUGGGGGACAACAUUCGGAAACGGAUGCUAAUACCGCAUACGCCCUACGGGGGAAAGCGGGGGAUCUUCGGACCUCGCGCUAUUGGAUGAGCCUAAGUCGGAUUAGCUUGUUGGUGAGGUAAUAGCUCACCAAGGCGACGAUCCGUAGCUGGUCUGAGAGGACGAUCAGCCACACUGGGACUGAGACACGGCCCAGACUCCUACGGGAGGCAGCAGUGGGGAAUAUUGGACAAUGGGCGCAAGCCUGAUCCAGCAAUGCCGCGUGUGUGAAGAAGGCCUGCGGGUUGUAAAGCACUUUCAGUAGAGAAGAAAAGCUUACGGUUAAUAACCGUGAGUCUUGACGUAACCUACAGAAGAAGCACCGGCUAACUCCGUGCCAGCAGCCGCGGUAAUACGGAGGGUGCGAGCGUUAAUCGGAAUUACUGGGCGUAAAGCGCGCGUAGGCGGCUCCGUAAGUCGGAUGUGAAAGCCCUGGGCUUAACCUGGGAAUUGCAUUCGAUACUGCAGAGCUAGAGUAUGGUAGAGG
rnacentral:rRNA from 1 species